GAUGAACGCUGGCGGCGUGCCUAAUACAUGCAAGUCGAGCGAACGGACGAGAAGCUUGCUUUUCUGAUGUUAGCGGCGGACGGGUGAGUAACACGUGGAUAACCUACCUAUAAGACUGGGAUAACUUCGGGAAACCGGAGCUAAUACCGGAUAAUAUUUUGAACCGCAUGGUUCAAAAGUGAAAGACGGUCUUGCUGUCACUUAUAGAUGGAUCCGCGCUGCAUUAGCUAGUUGGUAAGGUAACGGCUUACCAAGGCAACGAUGCAUAGCCGACCUGAGAGGGUGAUCGGCCACACUGGAACUGAGACACGGUCCAGACUCCUACGGGAGGCAGCAGUAGGGAAUCUUCCGCAAUGGGCGAAAGCCUGACGGAGCAACGCCGCGUGAGUGAUGAAGGUCUUCGGAUCGUAAAACUCUGUUAUUAGGGAAGAACAUAUGUGUAAGUAACUGUGCACAUCUUGACGGUACCUAAUCAGAAAGCCACGGCUAACUACGUGCCAGCAGCCGCGGUAAUACGUAGGUGGCAAGCGUUAUCCGGAAUUAUUGGGCGUAAAGCGCGCGUAGGCGGUUUUUUAAGUCUGAUGUGAAAGCCCACGGCUCAACCGUGGAGGGUCAUUGGAAACUGGAAAACUUGAGUGCAGAAGAGGAAAGUGGAAUUCCAUGUGUAGCGGUGAAAUGCGCAGAGAUAUGGAGGAACACCAGUGGCGAAGGCGACUUUCUGGUCUGUAACUGACGCUGAUGUGCGAAAGCGUGGGGAUCAAACAGGAUUAGAUACCCUGGUAGUCCACGCCGUAAACGAUGAGUGCUAAGUGUUAGGGGGUUUCCGCCCCUUAGUGCUGCAGCUAACGCAUUAAGCACUCCGCCUGGGGAGUACGACCGCAAGGUUGAAACUCAAAGGAAUUGACGGGGACCCGCUCAAGCGGUGGAGCAUGUGGUUUAAUUCGAAGCAACGCGAAGAACCUUACCAAAUCUUGACAUCCUUUGACAACUCUAGAGAUAGAGCCUUCCCCUUCGGGGGACAAAGUGACAGGUGGUGCAUGGUUGUCGUCAGCUCGUGUCGUGAGAUGUUGGGUUAAGUCCCGCAACGAGCGCAACCCUUAAGCUUAGUUGCCAUCAUUAAGUUGGGCACUCUAAGUUGACUGCCGGUGACAAACCGGAGGAAGGUGGGGAUGACGUCAAAUCAUCAUGCCCCUUAUGAUUUGGGCUACACACGUGCUACAAUGGACAAUACAAAGGGCAGCGAAACCGCGAGGUCAAGCAAAUCCCAUAAAGUUGUCCUCAGUUCGGAUUGUAGUCUGCAACUCGACUACAUGAAGCUGGAAUCGCUAGUAAUCGUAGAUCAGCAUGCUACGGUGAAUACGUUCCCGGGUCU
rnacentral:rRNA from 1 species